GUCAACGCUGGCGGCGUGCCUAACACAUGCAAGUCGAGCGAGAAAGGGGGGGCAACUCCCUGAGUAAAGCGGCGCACGGGUGAGUAACACGUGGGUAAUCUACCCUGGAGUGGGGAAUAACACCGGGAAACCGGUGCUAAUACCGCAUACGAUCACGAUGUCUGCGGAUGUUGUGAUGAAAGGAGCAAUUCGCUCCAGGAGGAGCCCGCGGCUGAUUAGCUAGUUGGUGAGGUAAUGGCUCACCAAGGCUUCGAUCAGUAUCCGGUCUGAGAGGACGGUCGGACACACUGGAACUGAGACACGGUCCAGACUCCUACGGGAGGCAGCAGUGGGGAAUUUUUCGCAAUGGGGGCAACCCUGACGAAGCAACGCCGCGUGGAUGAUGAAGUAUCUCGGUACGUAAAAUCCUUUCGACAGGGACGAAGCCGCAAGGUUGACGGUACCUGUAGAAGAAGCCCCGGCUAACUCCGU
rnacentral:rRNA from 1 species